GGACAGAAAAAAACAUUAUAAAUGUUUGGCGUUGCUCUCGUUAAACGUUGAUUUUAUCUCUACACACUGAAAUUUCGCAGAAUUUGGUAAUUUUUUGCCGAACUUUCCACAGCUGAACGCAAGGGGCAAAUCACUCUAAACUUUGUCUGAAAACAAGUAAGAUUUAAAGGGAGUAUAAAAGUUUAAUAGGGAUCGCAUGUGAUUAGAAUGGGAUUAGAAAAGUUUAGCCGAGAUCUGGCAAGAUUCAACAGCAAAAUGCUCGUCAAGAUGUGGUUUGUCUUAACUCAACAAAAUGUGUUUCACCCGGGUUAUCUUAUAAGUCGCAUAAGACGUAAGCGAGUGAAAGAUAAAUAAAUGAUUCCAACAAUACUGGUUGAUUUCGAAUCAAAGAUGUUCUUGAUAAAGGAUUUAGAGAACAAAUUAUGCGGAGUAUGACGAGUCCUCUUCGUUAUUUGGUCCAACUCUACACUGAUAAAAACAAGUCGGAUCGAUUUAUAUGUAGCACUUUAAAUAAAUUUAACGAAGUCAUAGGAGCUGCUGACAAAAUGCUAACACUUAGUUGAUGAAUCAUGUUCGUCAUUAAUCAACAAAAUGCAUUGCCACCCGGUUCUACUAAGGAUCUCUCCAAAAAAUCAAAAUCUGGUAUUCCAUGUGCCAAAGAUUAGUUUUUUUAUAUAAUUUCAUGUGUUAUGUAAUAGUCAUAAAAUGCUACGAACUUGAUGAAGUACAAUUCUUUUGAGAAAAACUA